UACGGGAGGCAGCAGUGGGGAAUAUUGCACAAUGGGCGCAAGCCUGAUGCAGCCAUGCCGCGUGUAUGAAGAAGGCCUUCGGGUUGUAAAGUACUUUCAGUCGUGAGGAAGGUGUUAAGGCUAAUAACCUUAGCAAUUGACGUUAGCGACAGAAGAAGCACCGGCUAACUCCGUGCCAGCAGCCGCGGUAAUACGGAGGGUGCGAGCGUUAAUCGGAAUUACUGGGCGUAAAGGGCACGCAGGCGGUUAAUUAAGUUGGAUGUGAAAUCCCCGGGCUUAACCUGGGAAUGGCAUUCAAGACUGGUUAGCUAGAGUCUUGUAGAGGGGGUAGAAUUCCAUGUGUAGCGGUGAAAUGCGUAGAGAUGUGGAGGAAUACCGGUGGCGAAGGCGGCCCCUGGACAAAGGCUGACGCUCAUGUGCGAAAGCGUGGGGAGCAAACAGGGAUUAGAUA
rnacentral:rRNA from 1 species